GUCAAGAUAGUGGCCAAAGAGGAAGUUAUAAAGCAGACUAGGAAAUUCUCCUAAAUAUAUCUCCAACAGAGUAAACAAGAGAUUAGGAAACUCGUCCUUCAUUCAAUUACACCUGGCAGGUGAAUGGGAGUGGAGCAGUAAGAGAUGCUGCUUCCAGUAGUUUUCUGCCUCUCAAUCCUUGCUAUUCAAAGUAUGGUCCACAGUCCAGCAGCUUUGGCAUCACCUGGGAACUUGAUGGAAAUGCAGAGAAGUUCAAAUUCCCACCACCGAUAUACUGAAUUAGAAACAUCUGCCCUUCAAGAAGAUCCACUGGUGAUAAUAUGCAUAUUAAAGUUUGAGUAGCACCGCCAUUCUAUAUCAGCUUGCAAAAUGAAAGCAAGAAGAAACAAAACAAAGCAUUAGCCAGUUUGGAUUUUCUGAAGUGCACUAAAUGUCAAACUCAAGAAAAGGUAGUAGAAAAUAAAUUUCUCUUCAACCAAGUCAUUAGUGUGGAAUCAUCUACUCUGUUUUGAGGUAACACCAGCCAAUACCAGCCACAUUUUCGAAAUCAUCACUUUCUGAUGAAAUAAACUGACUUGCAUAAUUUAAUAAAUUUUGGUGAAUAACGAGACUUACUCUCAGAUACCAACAUUUCCUAGCUUGCAAGACAAUAGUUAUAGAAGGAAACUAAUAGACAUGGUUUAAAACACCUUCUAAUGCAAAGUAGAAGAUUUACAAUGCUGCUUCAUUGUCAGGAUCCAGUGUCCUCCUUUUAUCCAACAAAAUCUAAAGAAUUAUCUCAUUGGAAUUUUCAGCUUCAGUGAAAAUUCUGUGAUGAUCUCAAAUGUUGCUGCAGAAAAUGUAUAAUUAAUGGAGUGAAGUGGUUUGUAAAGAAACAUUUUAUUAGAACAAGUGAGGGUAAAUGAACUAAUAGAGUUCAAUUCUAUGCUUCAGUUUCAAAUAUAAUAUGCAAAUAUCUACUCUGCAAAACCGUAUAAAACGACUUUCUGAACUAUUAUUCUAGGUUUAAUACAGUGAUUAGACUGGAUCAUCAUUUCUGCAUUGUCAGAAACUGUGCUAUUUUGCAGUAUCUAAUUGUUGUUUUAUUUCCUUUUUGAUUAUUUUAUUCACUGUUUUAUUAUUUUGGCUUUAACAUCAGACACAUUCUUUGAUAUUAAAAUUGCAUUUGAUUAGCUUUUAACUUUCUCAGACAUUAAUACACGAUGAUGGGUUUUAAGUCAAUGAAUGUAUUCUUCUAUGUUAUGGCCUGUUUCAUUGUUCUAAUUCGAGUGUCAAAAUUGCUAUUUAUUUGAUGACUGUCAUUAUCAAAUAUUUCAGAAUGUGAGUUGCCAUUAUUCAAAGGAAUAAGUCAACAGACAUUUACAUAACAUGUAAUAGUAAAACGAAAUUAUUCAUAUUAUAACGUUUCAUAAUGUUUGGCUUAGAAGACUUGCUACAGAUGUUAUAGACAAACAAAAUUUGUAUGGUUAACGAAACAGGAACCUGGUUUCAGAUAGGUGACAUGACAUUUUCAAAGUCUCACAGCAAUUUUGAAUGAGCUAAUCCUCAACGAUUGGUCAAUUUCUUUAGUCUUUUUUUUUUUUAACACUGAAAUCAACCAUGCUAUUUCUAGCCCCCAUUUUUUAAACUUGGAUAAUCAAAAUGAGUUUAAUAAAACAUCAUCAACCAAAUAUCACAUUAUGCAUAGUAACACGUAUCUUGAAGGUUAUAGUAAAUGGAAAGAUGAAUCUGGAAAGCUAAGAGAAUUAGAGGUCAUGGCUCGAUGUAAAAUCACCAUGGAAACAGCUUUCAUGGCCAAUUUGUGGGGAGAUGUCAAAAGGCAGUAACCUGUGACUUAUUUUUUUCCAAAGCCCUUUCUAUGAAGGUUACAGGCUCUAUAUCUGCUUUCAUGAUGACAUUUGUCUAUGUUUUUGUAGGAUUCUAUUCUGACAAGCACAAAACCCUGCACCAAGUUGAACCUGUCCUUUGUGAUGAGGCUGUUGAACAGAAGAGCAGCAUAGCAGUCUGUCUAUUCUUGCUCCACAUUCAGCUAAAUGCCAACUCCGAUCCCUUUGAGAUGGUGAACAGGCUGAACCUAGGGAUCGUGUCAUCCCUCAGUAUCCAGACUUCUUCAGAGAACCAUGUGGUGAAACUUCUUGAUUAAGGUCGCAAAAGGAGAGACAACUAUACAUUUUGUGAUGCCGAAGAGAAAUGUACAAGAGCACUACUGAAGAAGUCCAGCCAAAAAAGAAGCCCAGUAGUAUUCUUAUCAAGCCUGUAUAUCCAGUUUAUAGGAAAUAUAAGAGACAGAGACACAUGUUAAAUGACAACAGUAGAAUGUAAUGCACAAAAUCCAGACUUGAAAAUGUUAUAAAAUAUGCAAAAAAGAUUUCUUAAGAAUAAUAUUAGAAGAAAAAUGAGUUUGUGGGAGAACUUAUAGAGUCUUUAAAAAAUAUAUUAAUUACAGUGUAUGAACUCACUUUGUUUCAUGAUUCAAACAAGCUGGUUAAAAGUUUAAGAGAAAAUUCCAUCAUGAUAUUGACGUGAGAAUUAAAGUGUUUGUUAAAAAAUGAAAUAUACUUGGGAGGCUGAGUCCAAGAAUCCC